rnacentral:rRNA from 1 species
CAGCCGCCACGGUAAUACGAAGGGGGCUAGCGUUGUUCGGAAUUACUGGGCGUAAAGCGCACGUAGGCGGAUAUUUAAGUCAGGGGUGGAAUCCCAGAGCUCAACUCCGGAACUGCCUUUGAUACUGGGUAUCUUGAGUAUGGAAGAGGUGAGUGGAAUUCCGAGUGUAGAGGUGAAAUUCGUAGAUAUUCGGAGGAACACCAGUGGCGAAGGCGGCUCACUGGUCCAUUACUGACGCUGAGGUGCGAAAGCGUGGGGAGCAAACAGGAUUAGAUACCCCGGUAGUCCCUGUCUCUUAUAC